UUAUGCUCUCUGACCCGACCGAGUAGUAGCAUGCAUGGAUGGGGCAGGCACGUGGAAUCCCGUGUGAAUCAGCAAGGAGCACCUUGCAAGGCUAAAUACUCCUGGGUGACCGAUAGCGAAGUAGUACCGUGAGGGAAAGGUGAAAAGAACCCCCAGUGGGUAGUGAAAUAGAACGUGAAACCGUGCUGAGCUCCCAAGCAGUGGGAGGGGAAAGUGAUCUCUGACC
rnacentral:ncRNA from 1 species